UGUUAAGAUCUUAGGAAAUAGGUUGUGCCAUGAACUCACUAGUAUAACUUUUUGUUCUUAUUUUUGGGUCACCCAUCUUCUUUUGUUUAUUUGUCCUUUCACUGCCAAUUAUUAAUACGUCUUUGUCCAGGUUCUGAUGGAACAUCAGUACCCCAAGUUGAUGGUUCGCAGUAUAGGGGGACUCUGAGAAUACAACAACACCAAGCACUAUAUCAGCUCACUGUAGUAUAUCUUCUCUAGUUCCUACAUUAGAAUGUAAGAUUAUGCUGAUUUAUUCUGGGUUCCUGUUUUCCAUUUUGUUAUCCUAUCCAAUUUGAAAUUACUAUGAUUUUGUUUUAAUAUGCCUCUUUCCUUUACCCUUUAAGGUGAUUGAUGAUUUGUUUUUUUGGAAUAUUUUAC
rnacentral:lncRNA from 1 species